rnacentral:misc_RNA from 1 species
GAUGAAGAACGCAGCGAAAUGCGAUAAGUAAUGUGAAUUGCAGAAUUCAGUGAAUCAUCGAAUCUUUGAACGCACAUUGCGCCCGCCAGUAUUCUGGCGGGCAUGCCUGUUCGAGCGUCAUUUCAACCAUCAAGCCCUGCUUGCGUUGGGGUCCUGCGGCUGCCCGCAGGCCCUGAAAACCAGUGGCGGGCUCGCUAGUCACACCGAGCGCAGUAAUACAUCUCGCUUUGGGCGUGCGGCGGGUUCUUGCCGUUAAACACCCCCUUUUUACCAAGGUUGACCUCGGAUCAGGUAGGAAUACCCGAUGAACUUAAGCAUAUCAAUAAGCGGAGGA